UUAGAUGGACUUUAAUCAGUUCCGCAGGCA
rnacentral:tRNA from 1 species